AGUGGAGCCUGCGGCUUAAUUUGACUCAACACGGGAAACCUCACCAGGCCCGGACACCGGAAGGAUUGACAGAUUGAGAGCUCUUUCUUGAUUCGGUGGGUGGUGGUGCAUGGCCGUUCUUAGUUGGUGGAGCGAUUUGUCUGGUUAAUUCCGAUAACGAACGAGACUCUAGCCUACUAACUAGGCGUAUUUCGACAUCCCAAAGGCCCGCCGGUUCGGGGUUUCGACCUCUGUUCCGCGCGCGGUUUUUACUGUCGGCGUACAAACAAUUCUUCUUAGAGGGACAGGCGGCUUCUAGCCGCACGAGAUUGAGCAAUAACAGGUCUGUGAUGCCCUUAGAUGUUCUGGGCCG
rnacentral:rRNA from 1 species